UCCCUCUCUCUCUUCACUCGUCCCAACUGCUGUUGCCGUGCUCGUUGUGCGUUGUUGCUGUCUUCCUUCACUUCCACUCUCCUCAACCAGCAGACUCCACGCAGGCAAGGUACCAGUUUUCUGUUCUUCUUCGUCUUCUGUAGAGACCAGCAUUUCAAGAUG